CCAAUGCUUGCCUUCAUACUUCAGUUCUGUCUGGAGUGGGGGCCGAGGAGACCUGUGCACCCUCGUUUUCUAAGAGAUCCCUGCCAUUAUCUGGGCAUCCCCGUGGACUGCUUUCUCUGCUUCGCACCAUUGAGCCUGGACAAGGGUGGAAUUCUCGAUGCAUUGCUCUGUGGUAGUUCUUUCCUCUAAACACUCCCCACCUGUGCAGCUGAGCGCCCUUCUGCCGCCUGCCCACCCCUGGGUGUCCCAGCAAGAGCUUCUGACUGAGCACAGCUUGCCCUCGCUAGUAUCUUCCGCCUCUUUCCCUGGAGCCCUGCAGCCCUUCCAAACCAUCCCUCAUGUGAAAACAGACUUUCUUCUAUGACUUCCCUACCAUCGAGGUCUCAGCCCAUUUUACUUGACUGCCUUCACAUCCUGUUAUUCAGGCUCAUUUUUGUCAAUCCAUAUGCACUAAUUUACAUCUUUCUUCACCAAAUACCACCUCCUAUCACUGGUGAUAGUGAUAAUAAAGCUAUCCUUUCUUGAGUUCUUACAAUAUGUUAGACAUUCUGCUAAUGCAUUAUCUCAUUUAGUCUUCCCAGGAAACCUGCAAGGUUGGAAUACUGUUACCUGCUUUUUUAUAGAAAAUGGAACUGAGACACAGGCAGGUUAAGCAACUUGUCCAAGAUCCCACAACCAGUAUCAGAGCCACAUUACACAAGCCCAAUGUAGAAGCUUCCUCUUUUUAUCAACAAGGGAAGAGGAAGAAGAGAAUAUUUUGUGUGUGACUACUCUGUGUCAGGCACUGUACUGAGCCUUUCUUCCCAGUCCAUCUUAGUCUGGAAGCUCCACUGAAACCUGUUCGGCAUCACAGCAGCACACAGGCCUCCACUGACAGAUGCGUAGAGGCUGGGCAUGAGGAGCAAUGACUGGGAAUAGACCCCAGGUCUGUCGCAUGGAAGGAAGCGGAGGAUGGUGUUGGUGGAGAGGAGCUGGGAAGAGACACCGAGGGUUCAUUGCCUGGAGGAGAGGAGAGAAAGGUUGCUAUCUCCUGCCCAAGAACUUAAACUCCAUGAGGGGUUAUCGUGAAGGAGCCCUGGUGGUGCAAAAUGUUGACAGUUGGAACUCGUCCAGCCGCCAUGCGGGAGAAAGACCUGGAGAUCUGCUCCUAUGAAGAUUACAGCCAGAAAACUCUAUGAGGGCAGUUCUACUCUGUCACAUGGGGUUGCUAUAAGUCAGAAUUGACUCCGUGGCUCGUAACAGCAACAACAACAACAGAGUUAUUGUGAACAUUAAAUGUGUUGAAAACACAUAAAGUGCUCAGAUCAGAGGCUGCUGGCACCUAACACUCCUAAAAUAAACAGAAAGAAAACAGAAGCUGGGUCUACGUAAGGCUACAGGAACGUGAACAUGUUGAUGGUAGUUCUCGAGCCUGUUGGUCAAAGUGAAACUCUGGAGAGUGACUGAAAGCUGAUGAAAUAAAACAGGAUUGAAAUGAGCCUGCCUGGCCUGGCAUCUUUAGGGGCAAAACCACGGGGAUUCUAGCUGGUGAUGUCAGCUGAUACAUUGCAUUAAAGACAGGAGCCAGGAGGGCAUCUUUGCUUUUGCUGUGCAUCAGCUCUCACUCUUUUCUCUCUGCCUGCCUGUUUCUUUUCCCUCCUUCAUAGGUUGCAACUGUUUUGUAGCCCACAGACACACACUGUCCAUCUCUCUUGCAGGCUUGCAUGCGCCUGCUGUCUGUCUGUACAUGUAUCAUACACACACAAUUCUCCCUCUCAGAUUGUUAGUUUUCAAACUGUUAUUGGCUGAUUUCAUACAUUUUACUCUUUCACUCUGUACAACGUGUGUCCAAGGUCAUGGAAGUAUGAUCCCAGCGGGGUCAGAUGAAGUACUGAAGCCUGCUGGGCACCUAAUCCGGAGACCUGGACCAUGGUGUGAUGUGCUGG